rnacentral:pre_miRNA from 1 species
ACUGGGAUAACUGGGUCAAAUGUGGUUUCAUUUCAAAUUUUUUGAGGAAUUGCCAUACUGUUUUCCAAAGUGAUUGCACCAAUUUUCAGUCCCACCAGCAAU